UACGAAGGGGGCUAGCGUUGCUCGGAAUGACUGGGCGUAAAGGGCGCGUAGGCGGAUGGCACAGUCAGAUGUGAAAUUCCCGGGCUUAACCUGGGGGCUGCAUUUGAUACGUGUUGUCUAGAGUGAGGAAGAGGGUUGUGGAAUUCCCAGUGUAGAGGUGAAAUUCGUAGAUAUUGGGGAAGAACACCGGUGGCGAAGGCGGCAACCUGGUCCUUGACUGACGCUGAGGCGCGAAAGCGUGGGGAGCAAACAGG
rnacentral:rRNA from 1 species